rnacentral:rRNA from 1 species
CCUACGGGUGGCAGCAGUGAGGAAUAUUGGUCAAUGGGCGGGAGCCUGAACCAGCCAAGUCGCGUGAGGGAAGAAGGUUCAGCGGAUCGUCAACCUCUUUUGUCAGGGAAAAAAGUCCGGGACUUGUCCCCUUCUGCGGGUACCUUAAGAAUAAGCAUCGGCUAACUCCGUGCCAGCAGCCGCGGUAAUACGGAGGAUUCGAGCGUUAUCCGGAUUUAUUGGGUUUAAAGGGUGCGCAGGCGGCCUGUUAAGUCAGCGGUAAAAGCCUGGGGCCAAACCCAGGCGGGCCGUGGAAACUGGCGGGCUGGAGAUGGAGAGAAGUACGCGGAAUGCGCGGUGUAGCGGUGAAAUGCUUAGAUAUCACGCAGAACCCCGAUUGCGAAGGCAGCGUACCGGCUCCAAACUGACGCUGAGGCACGAAAGCGUGGGUAUCGAACAGGAUUAGAUACCCCAGUAGUC